UGAUAGGUUAGCGACUAUGCAGUGAUGAUCCGCCCACACGUCCCCGCAGUUCUCCUAACUUUGCAGGAAGGUUGUGGUAACGUUGUGGACAUAAGGUUCCUCUAUAGCAGCUGCAGCUCUGGUAUGAUUUAGCCGUGUCUUUGAUGUCGUGUGGAGCAGCGUCCUUGCAGACCACAUGCUGGGUGGCCAUGCGUUGGUUAUUUCUGGAAUGGAAAAAGAAAAGACCACCAGGAGAGAGAGGGAGAGAGGUGUCCUGUUCAGACUCUGGAUAGGUUCACUAGCAGGGGAGAGAGAGGUGUCCUGUUCAGUCUCUGGAUAGGUUCACUAGCAGGGGUGAGAGAGGUGUCCUGUUCAGUCUCUGGAUAGGUUCACUAGCAGGGGCGAGAGAGGUGUCCUGUUCAGUCUCUGGAUAGGUUCACUAGCAGGGGUGAGAGAGGUGUCCUGUUCAGUCUCUGGAUAGGUUCACUAGCAGGGGCGAGAGAGGUGUCCUGUUCAGUCUCUGGAUAGGUUCACUAGCAGAGGAUAGAGAGGUGUCCUGUUCAGCCCAGUGGACCGGAGUGAGUGAUGAGGUGAGAGAGAGGCCCCAGCUGAGAUCAAUAGAAAUCGGCUUCUCAAACCCAGGAACACUCGGUAAAUAUUUCCCUCAGUCCCUUCACUUACUUAUACACAGUCUAUUUAGUGUACUGACACUCACUCACCUCCUUUGUAAAGGGUCGAAUGGACGAUCAGUGAGAAAUACGUUUAGCCUCUGCCUCUGUAGGCUGUCAUUGUGGGAUUCAGUUUGACCAAAUCUGUAGAUAGGAAAAGUAAAAAUUCAUUGUCACCGACAUUCACUUCGGGCAACAUUGGGAAAUACGGAUCACCUUGUCUUAUGGGUACUGUGUAUCCAGCCGUGGUCUAACAGAACGUACAGUGUUAGAGCAGUGAUUCUCACACUUCUUUGAAGGGCAACCAGAGUUAAGGGAGACAUUGUUAAUGUUGUUAGUGAGAAAAAUGUAAAUGUUUGAUAUAAAAAAAAAACAGUUGAUUUCAUUUCUAAAUGUCUUUUUGUAUGAGAAACAUGAUCAAUGUUACAGUCUAUAUCUGUCAAUUCUGAAUCCACCGU
ensembl:lncRNA